UACUGAUAGGACAUUAUAGUACAAUUUUAAUUACAAUUAACAUCGAUAUUUGUGUAACCUAUAAUAAAUUUCGUAGACAACAAAGAAUUGAAUGAAAUUAAGACUAAAUAAACGGAAAUUGUACUUAUCUCGCGUCUGGUUCCUUGAAUGAUAAGUUUGUAUAAUGUUUGCAUUGGUGUCGUUGUGUGUGUGCGUAUUUCAUCGUUCUAUAGUGUAAUAUGAUCGAAAGUGGUUUUUACUCAACACAAAUAUUUAUCAAAGGACUUUUUCGUGUGAUUCACGUUACCAAUUAUAGUGUUUUUGUCAAUGGUAUCACGUACUCGCAAUUGUUUUUCAGAUAUAUUACAAGUCACGGCUGGGUACUAUCACCGUGACUGUUUCUGCAGCGAUGCUAGCACGCCUUUUGGUUUGAAAUAUAUAUCAACACAGUGGAAAUUUCGAUUGUAAAUAGAAGCAGCAUUAACAAAGUCUAUGGAACGGUAAAUGAUUUUAAAGUUACAUUUAAAAUGCUUUUAAUUUUUGAAACCAAGAAUAGCGUGGCGUUGCAAAAAUAAUAAUUUGACAACAUAGUAAAGAAGUGUUGAGAUCACAUGUAUUGAAGACAAAAACCAGCCAUGUAAGACAUAUCGGACAACACAGUGAAUGGUCCUAAAAUUAGAAUGUUCGCGGAUAAAAUUAAUAUUAACCCAGUCAAUCCUGGAUAAACGAUAGUCGAAGAGACCAUAAUAUAUAUUUUUCGCUUAAGAAACACAGUACAAUAUAGUAUAUUGUGUGUUUACUUAUUACUUACUAUAAAUUGACAUAAAUGCUUACAA